UUUACACCUGUCUAAGUGCAGAACCUCUUCUCUCUCUUCUUCUUUCAUCUCUUUUGUUCUCCUUUUCUCUCUCUAGGCUAGGGAAAGCUUGAGGAAAUUGGGGUAGCAGCCUUGAGGCUUGCGGGUUCAAGUGGAGGAGGUGACCCGAGCAGAGAAUUCCUGCGGUUGGGGUUACUGUGCAACGUGGUUCAGCAUCAAAUUACGACUUGAGACUUGGGGGCCUUGGGUUAGUUAAUGCUGAAGGAAAUUUGGAGGAGUCCCAGAUUAAGAAGGGGGUAGAUUUGAAGAUAUGGCUGGAUGAAGUUGCCGAAGUGGAGUCCCAGUUGAGAAAGCCUGGGAGUUGUGAGCUGUUAAAGCUGAGAGUAAUCAAAUUGAUCAUCAAGUCAAGGAGUGGCAGAAUUGGGGCUCGGACUGAUUAGAGCUGCUGAAGUGAAAAGUUCAACUCUGGGAGGUUGAAACUUGAGCUAAGUGUUGCGGGCUGAUUGUGGAAGAGUUCUGCUGCUUGGGCUGAAGCUCGAGCCUGCUGUUUGAGCUGUCAAGCAGUAGAAGUGGACUCUUGAAGUAGUAAGCAACUUGGUGCAGAUUUUAAAUUAAAAUGAUUAUAGGGGCUGUGUAGCUACUGCCUUGGAGUAGUUUUGGGGCACCCAAAUUAGCUGAGGGAGCUUCUGUGGGUGGUCCAAAUUGAAAAGGAAAUUAAAGUGCUGAUUGCUGCUAAUUGAUUAAGAGGAGUAGCUCGAAAUUAAGGUCUGCGGCGCACGAAUUACGGUAGAAGCCGUUUUAGCUCUAUUUGCACGGAGUCGCGAGAGCUCGUUAUUGACAUAGUUCGAGAUGCUGAUUCCAGUUUGUUGGCCAUCCCUACAGGUUCCAGUGCGAGCGGUGUGGCCGAGGAUCAUGGCAAAAGCCCCGCAGCUUAGCUAGCUUACACCAGAGUAUAGCAGUUUACCAUUUUGGAUUUCAUGUUGCACAUUUUGAUGUACUGAGACGUGUAAAUGAAUGUAUAAAAGAGCAUGUGCAUAACUAAAUGUUUCAGUUGUUCAGUUAUGUAUAAUUCAGUUUUAAAGUUUUAAAUUACAGUGAAUUUCAUGUA